rnacentral:rRNA from 1 species
UUGGUUAAGUUAGAAAGGGCGCACGGUGGAUGCCUUGGCACUAGGAGCCGAAGAAGGACGGGACUAACACCGAUAUGCUUUGGGGAGCUGUACGUAAGCGUUGAUCCAGAGAUUUCCGAAUGGGGGAACCCACUAUCUUUAGUCGGAUAGUAUCCUUACGUGAAUACAUAGCGUGAGGAAGGCAGACCCAGGGAACUGAAACAUCUAAGUACCUGGAGGAAGAGAAAGAAAAAUCGAUUUCCUGAGUAGCGGCGAGCGAAACGGAAAGAGCCCAAACCAAGAAGCUUGCUUCUUGGGGUUGUAGGACACUCUAUACGGAGUUACAAAAGAAAGUUAUAAAUGAAGCGGUCUGGAAAGGCCCGCCAAAGACGGUAACAGCCCGGUAGUUGAAAUGGCUUUCCCUCCAGAGUGGAUCCUGAGUACGGCGGAACACGUGAAAUUCCGUCGGAAUCCGGGAGGACCAUCUCCCAAGGCUAAAUACUCCCUAGUGACCGAUAGUGAACCAGUACCGUGAGGGAAAGGUGAAAAGCACCCCGGAAGGGGAGUGAAACAGUUCCUGAAACCGUGUGCCUACAAGUAGUUAGAGCCCGUUAAUGGGUGAUAGCGUGCCUUUUGUAGAAUGAACCGGCGAGUUACGAUUUGUUGCAAGGUUAAGCGGAAAAAGCGGAGCCGUAGCGAAAGCGAGUCUGAAUAGGGCGCAUAAGUAACAGGUCGUAGACCCGAAACCAGGUGAUCUACCCAUGUCCAGGAUGAAGGUAAGGUAAUACUUACUGGAGGUCCGAACCCACGCACGUUGAAAAGUGCGGGGAUGAGGUGUGGGUAGCGGAGAAAUUCCAAUCGAACUUGGAGAUAGCUGGUUCUCUCCGAAAUAGCUUUAGGGCUAGCCUCGAGGUAAAGAGUCAUGGAGGUAGAGCACUGUUUGGACUAGGGGCCCUUCUCGGGUUACCGAAUUCAGAUAAACUCCGAAUGCCAUGUACUUAUACUCGGGAGUCAGACUGCGAGUGAUAAGAUCCGUAGUCGAAAGGGAAACAGCCCAGACCACCAGUUAAGGUCCCCAAAUAUAUGUUAAGUGGAAAAGGAUGUGGGGUUGCUUAGACAACCAGGAUGUUGGCUUAGAAGCAGCCACCAUUGAAAGAGUGCG